rnacentral:rRNA from 1 species
GACGAACGCUGGCGGCGUGCUUAACACAUGCAAGUCGAACGGAAAGGCCCUGCUUUUGUGGGGUGCUCGAGUGGCGAACGGGUGAGUAACACGUGAGUAACCUGCCCUUGACUUUGGGAUAACUUCAGGAAACUGGGGCUAAUACCGGAUAGGAGCUCCUGCUGCAUGGUGGGGGUUGGAAAGUUUCGGCGGUUGGGGCUGGACUCGCGGCUUAUCAGCUUGUUGGUGGGGUAGUGGCUUACCAAGGCUUUGACGGGUAGCCGGCCUGGGAGGGUGACCGGCCACCUUGGGACUGAGAUACGGCCCAGACUCCUACGUGAGGCAGCAGUGGGGAAUAUUGCACAAUGGGCGGAAGCCUGAUGCAGAAACGCCGCGUGCGGGAUGACGUCCUUCGGGUUGUAAACCGCUUUCGCCUGUGACGAAGCGUGAGUGACGGUAAUGGGUAAAGAAGCACCGGCUAACUACGUG